CGGGACCACCCGCUAAGCCUAAAUAUUCCCUGGUGACCGAUAGCGGAUAGUACCGUGAGGGAAUGGUGAAAAGUACCGCGGGAGCGGAGUGAAAUAGUACCUGAAACCGUGUGCCUACAAGCCGUGGGAGCGUCGGAUGGAAGCUUGCUUCCAUCUCGUGACUGCGUGCCUUUUGAAGAAUGAGCCUGCGAGUUUGCGGUGUGUUGCGAGGUUAACCCGGGUGGGGAAGCCGUAGCGAAAGCGAGUCCGAAGUAGGGCGUUUCAGUAGCACGCUCGAAGACCCGAAGCGGAGUGAUCUAGCCAGUGGGCAGGUUGAAGCGGAGGUAAGACUUCG
rnacentral:ncRNA from 1 species